CGGUAAUACGUAGGGUGCAAGCACUAAUCGGAAUUACUGGAUGUAAGGCGUGCGCAAAUGGUGAUGUAAGACAGGUGUGAAGUCCCUGGGCUUAACCUGGGAACUGCAUUUGUAGGUGCAUCGCUGGAGUGCGGCAGAGGGGAAUGGAAUUCCGCGUGUAGCAGUGAAAUGCGUAGAUAUGCGGAGGAACACCGAUGGCGAAGGCAAUCCCCUGGGUCUGCACUGACGCUCAUGCACGAAAGCGUGGGGAGCAAACAGGAUUAGAUACCCCGGUAGUCCACGCCCUAAGCGAUGUCAACUGGUUGUUGGGUCUUCACUGACUCAGUAACGAAGCUAACGCGUGAAGUUGACCGCCUGGGGAGUACGGCCGCAAGGUUGAA
rnacentral:rRNA from 1 species